ACGCACGCUGGCGGCGUGCCUAACCCAUGCAAGUCGAACGGAAAGGCCCUGCUUUUGUGGGGUGCUCGAGUGGCGAGGGGGUGAGUAACACGUGAGUCACCUGCCCUUGACUUUGGGAUAACUUCAGGAGACUGGGGCUAAUACCGGAUAGGAGCUCCUGCUGCAUGGUGGGGGUUGGAAAGUUUCGGCGGUUGGGGAUGGACUCGCGGCUUAUCAGCUUGUUGGUGGGGUAGUGGCUUACCAAGGCUUUGACGGGUAGCCGGCCUGAGAGGGUGACCGGCCACAUUGGGACUGAGAUACGGCCCAGACUCCUACGGGAGGCAGCAGUGGGGAAUAUUGCACAAUGGGCGGAAGCCUGAUGCAGCAACGCCGCGUGCGGGAUGACGGCCUUCGGGUUGUAAACCGCUUUCGCCUGUGACGAAGCGUGAGUGACGGUAAUGGGUAAAGAAGCACCGGCUAACUACGUG
rnacentral:rRNA from 1 species